CUGAGAGGAUGACCAGCCACACUGGAACUGAGACACGGUCCAGACUCCUACGGGAGGCAGCAGUGGGGAAUAUUGCACAAUGGGCGCAAGCCUGAUGCAGCCAUGCCGCGUGUAUGAAGAAGGCCUUCGGGUUGUAAAGUACUUUCAGCGGGGAGGAAGGGAGUAAAGUUAAUACCUUUGCUCAUUGACGUUACCCGCAGAAGAAGCACCGGCUAACUCCGUGCCAGCAGCCGCGGUAAUACGGAGGGUGCAAGCGUUAAUCGGAAUUACUGGGCGUAAAGCGCACGCAGGCGGUUUGUUAAGUCAGAUGUGAAAUCCCCGGGCUCAACCUGGGAACUGCAUCUGAUACUGGCAAGCUUGAGUCUCGUAGAGGGGGGUAGAAUUCCAGGUGUAGCGGUGAAAUGCGUAGAGAUCUGGAGGAAUAUCGGUGGCGAAGGCGGCCCCCUGGACGAAGACUGACGCUCAGGUGCG
rnacentral:rRNA from 1 species